rnacentral:rRNA from 1 species
UACAGAGGGUGCGAGCGUUGUCCGGAAUCACUGGGCGUAAAGGGCGCGUAGGCGGGCGGUCAAGUCUGUGGUGAAAUCCUUCGGCUCAACCGGAGAAUAGCUGGAGAUACUGGCCGUCUCGAGGGGGGUAGGGGCAUGUGGAACUUCCGGUGGAGCGGUGAAAUGCGUAGAUAUCGGAAGGAACGCCGGUGGCGAAAGCGACGUGCUGGACCCUUUCUGACGCUGAGGCGCGAAAGCCAGGGGAGCAAACGGG